rnacentral:tRNA from 1 species
GCCUAGCUGGUUCAGUCAGAAGAACAUGUGACUCUUGAUCUCGGGGUCAUGAGUUCGAGCCCCAUGUCGGGUA